rnacentral:misc_RNA from 1 species
CAGGUUCGUCGAAAGACGUCCCCUCAAACCAUUGUGAAUCUACCUAUUUGUCGUGCUUCGGCAGGCGGACCUCCCUCUAUGGCGGGGCUCCCUCGGCCGUCAAGGUGCCUGCCGGAGUACAACACAAACUCUUUUGCUGUCUUAGUGAAAUCUCAGAGAAAAAACAAACCUAUAA